GUCUGCCCUAUCAACUUUCGUCGGUACGGUAUUUGCCUACCGAGGUUCUUACGGGUGACGGGGAAUCAGGGUUCGAUUCCGGAGAGGGAGCCUGAGAAACGGCUACCACAUCCAAGGAAGGCAGCAGGCGCGCAAAUUACCCAUUCCCGACGCGGGGAGGUAGUGACGAAAAAUAACAAUGCAGGACUCGUUCGAGGCCCUGUAAUUGGAAUGAGUACACUUUAAAAGCUUUAACGAGUAUCCAUUGGAGGGCAAGUCUGGUGCCAGCAGCCGCGGUAAUUCCAGCUCCAAAAGUAUAUAUUUAAGUUGUUGGGGUUAAAAAGCUCGUAGUUGGAUUUUGGGCGCAGGCGGCCGGUCCGUCGCAAGGCGUGUACUGGACGUCCUGGCCUUCCCUCCGGUUCUCCGCCGGUGCUCUUGACUGAGUGUCGGCGGCGGCCGGAACGUUUACUUUGAAAAAAUUAGAGUGUUCAAAGCAGGCUCUCGAGCCUGGAUAAUGGUGCAUGGAAUAAUGGAAUAGGACCUCGGUUCUAUUUUGUUGGUUUUCGGAGCGCGAGGUAAUGAUUAAGAGGGACAGACGGGGGCAUUCGUACUGUGCCGUUAGAGGUGAAAUUCUUGGAUCGGCGCAAGACGAACGACUGCGAAAGCAUUUGCCAAGAAUGUUUUCUUUAAUCAAGAGCGAAAGUCAGAGGUUCGAAGACGAUCAGAUACCGUCCUAGUUCUGACUAUAAACGAUG
rnacentral:ncRNA from 1 species